rnacentral:rRNA from 1 species
AGUGAACGCUGGCGGUAGGCCUAACACAUGCAAGUCGAACGGCAGCACAGUAAGAGCUUGCUCUUACGGGUGGCGAGUGGCGGACGGGUGAGGAAUACAUCGGAAUCUACUUUUUCGUGGGGGAUAACGUAGGGAAACUUACGCUAAUACCGCAUACGACCUACGGGUGAAUGCAGGGGAUCUUCGGACCUUGCGCGAUUGAAUGAGCCGAUGUCGGAUUAGCUAGUUGGCGGGGUAAAGGCCCACCAAGGCGACGAUCCGUAGCUGGUCUGAGAGGCUGAUCAGCCACACUGGAACUGAGACACGGUCCAGACUCCUACGGGAGGCAGCAGUGGGGAAUAUUGGUCAAUGGGCGCAAGCCUGAUCCAGCCAUACCGCGUGAGUGAAGAAGGCCUUCGGGUUGUAAAACCCUUUUGUUGGGAAAGAAAAGCAGCAGGUUAAUACCCCGCUGUUCUGACGUUACCCAAAGAGUAAGCACCGGCUAACUUCGUG